UACGGAGGGUGCAAGCGUUAUCCGGAUUCACUGGGUUUAAAGGGUGCGUAGGCGGGUAUGUAAGUCAGUGGUGAAAUCCCCGAGCUUAACUCGGGAACUGCCAUUGAUACUAUAUAUCUUGAAUAUUCUGGAGGUAUGCGGAAUAUGUCAUGUAGCGGUGAAAUGCUUAGAUAUGACAUAGAACACCAAUUGCGAAGGCAGCUUACUACACAAAUAUUGACGCUGAGGCACGAAAGCGUGGGGAUCAAACAGG
rnacentral:rRNA from 1 species